CCAUGGGAUGAGCUGUGGAUAGCGGAGAAAUUCCAAUCGAACUCGGAGAUAGCUGGUUCUCCUCGAAAUAGCUUUAGGGCUAGCGUCGGGUAAUUGAGUAGUGGAGGUAGAGCACUGAAUGGGCUAGGGGCUGACAACAGUUACUGAACCCUAUCAAACUCCGAAUGCCAUAUACUUGUACCCCGGCAGUCAGACUACGAAUGAUAAGAUCCGUGGUCAAAAGGGAAACAGCCCAGACCAUCAGCUAAGGUCCCAAAGUGUAAGUUAAGUGGGAAAGGAUGUGGGAUUUCUAAGACAACUAGGAUGUUGGCUUAGAAGCAGCCACUCAUUUAAAGAGUGCGUAAUAGCUCACUAGUCGAGAGAUCCUGCGCCGAAGAUGUAACGGGGCUCAAACUUACCACCGAAGCUAUGGAUGUGUACUAUGUACACGUGGUAGAGGAGCUUUCUGUACAGGUUGAAGUCAUACCGUAAGGAGUGGUGGACAGUACAGAAGUGAGAAUGCUGGCAUAAGUAGCGAAAAACAAGUGAGAAUCUUGUUGACCGAAUAUCUAAGGUUUCCUGGGGAAGGCUCGUCCUCCCAGGGUUAGUCGGGACCUAAGCCGAGGCCGAAAGGCGUAGGUGAUGGACAACUGGUUGAUAUUCCAGUACCACCAUAAUGCGUUUGACAAAUGGGAUGACGCAGGAGGAUAGGAUGUGCGCACUAUUGGAUGUGCGUCUAAGCACUUAGGGUGUUAAGUAGGCAAAUCCGCUUAACAUUAAGCCUGAGGUGUGAUGGGGAGCCUAUUUUGGCGAAGUAUCUGAUUCCACGCUGCCAAGAAAAGUCUCUAUGGAGCAAAAUGGUGCCCGUACCGCAAACCGACACAGGUAGAUGAGGAGAGAAUCCUAAGGUCGUCGGAAGAAUUAUUGCUAAGGAACUCGGCAAAUUGACCCCGUAACUUAGGGAGAAGGGGUGCCUACGAGAGUAGGCCGCAGUGAAUAGGCUCAAGCAACUGUUUAUCAAAAACACAGGUCUCUGCUAAAGCGUAAGCUGAUGUAUAGGGGCUGACGCCUGCCCGGUGCUGGAAGGUUAAGGGGAAUAGUUAGCGCAAGCGAAGCUAUGAACUUAAGCCCCAGUAAACGGCGGCCGUAACUAUAACGGUCCUAAGGUAGCGAAAUUCCUUGUCGGGUAAGUUCCGACCCGCACGAAUGGCGUAAUGAUUUGAGCACUGUCUCGGCAAUAAAUCCGGUGAAAUUGUAGUGCAAGUGAAGAUGCUUGCUACCCGCGGUUGGACGGAAAGACCCCGUAGAGCUUUACUGUAGCUUAGCAUUGAAUUUCGGUAUUGUCUGUACAGGAUAGGUGGGAGACUUAGAAGCGAGGGCGUCAGCUUUCGUGGAGUCGUCCUUGGGAUACCACCCUGACAGUACUGGAAUUCUAACUGGAGGCCAUGAAUCUGGUCACAGGACAUUGCUAGGUGGGCAGUUUGACUGGGGCGG
rnacentral:rRNA from 1 species